rnacentral:tRNA from 1 species
GGGGGUAUAGCUCAGUGGUAGAGCACAUGCUUAGCAUGCAUGAGGUCCUGAGUUCAAUCCCCAGUAUCUCCU